CCUACGGGGGGCUGCAGUGGGGAAUAUUGGACAAUGGGGGGAACCCUGAUCCAGCCAUGCCGCGUGUGUGAAGAAGGCCCUCGGGUUGUAAAGCACUUUCCGUGAGGAAGAACGCCUGGUGGUUAAUACCCAUCAGGAAAGACAUCACUCACAGAAGAAGCACCGGCUAACUCCGUGCCAGCAGCCGCGGUAAUACGGAGGGUGCGAGCGUUAAUCGGAAUUACUGGGCGUAAAGCGCGCGUAGGUGGCUUGAUAAGCCGGUUGUGAAAGCCCCGGGCUCAACCUGGGAACGGCAUCCGGAACUGUCAAGCUAGAGUGCAGGAGAGGAAGGUAGAAUUCCCGGUGUAGCGGUGAAAUGCGUAGAGAUCGGGAGGAAUACCAGUGGCGAAGGCGGCCUUCUGGACUGACACUGACACUGAGGUGCGAAAGCGUGGGUAGCAAACAGGAUUAGAUACCCUAGUAGUC
rnacentral:rRNA from 1 species